GAUGAACGCUGACAGAAUGCUUAACACAUCAGCAAUUGAUUGAUGGCGGACGGGUGAGUAACGCGUAAAGAACUUGCCUCACAGCUAGGGACAACAUUUGGAAACGAAAGCUAAUACCUAAUACUGUGAGAGAGCUUUGCGUCCCCUUAGCUAGUUGGAGAGGUAACGGCUCACCAAGGCGAUUAUGGGUAGCCGGCCUGAGAGGGUGAUCGGCAACAAUGGGACUGGGACACGGCCCUUAAUCCUACGGGAGGCAUAAGUGGGGAAUAUUGGACAAGGGACCAAAGUCUGAUACAGAAAUUCUGUGUUCACGAUGAAGUUUUCGGAAUGUAAAGUGCUUUCAGUUGGGAAGCGGUACCAACAGAAGAAGUGACGGCUAAAUACGUGCCAGCCGCCGCGGUAAUUC
rnacentral:rRNA from 1 species